rnacentral:rRNA from 1 species
AUUGAACGCUGGCGGCAGGCCUAACACAUGCAAGUCGAGCGGAUGACGGGAGCUUGCUACCGAUCUUAGCGGCGGACGGGUGAGUAAUGCUUAGGAAUCUGCCUAUUAGUGGGGGACAACAUUUCGAAAGGAAUGCUAAUACCGCAUACGUCCUACGGGAGAAAGCAGGGGAUCUUCGGACCUUGCGCUAAUAGAUGAGCCUAAGUCGGAUUAGCUAGUUGGUGGGGUAAAGGCCUACCAAGGCGACGAUCUGUAGCGGGUCUGAGAGGAUGAUCCGCCACACUGGGACUGAGACACGGCCCAGACUCCUACGGGAGGCAGCAGUGGGGAAUAUUGGACAAUGGGCGGAAGCCUGAUCCAGCCAUGCCGCGUGUGUGAAGAAGGCCUUAUGGUUGUAAAGCACUUUAAGCGAGGAGGAGGCUACUUUAGUUAAUACCUAGAGAUAGUGGACGUUACUCGCAGAAUAAGCACCGGCUAACUCUGUGCCAGCAGCCGCCGUAACAC